UCACUAAAAGUUGUAAAAUGUUGUAUCACUAAAAUAUCAUUCUCAGUCAGUUGUUAUCCAUUAUGUGUUUACAGCGCCCUCUGUGGUUGCUCCAAGUAAUGCACUUUAGAAACGGCUUUAUUUUGAAAAAACUUUAUUGAACAGGAAGUCCGCUCAGUCAAGCAAAGCAAGUGAGCAAGAAGAAGGGAAACAUAUCGGCACACAGUUUAUGUCCUGUUGGAAAAAAUACUGUCCACAUCUUCUGUUUAUGGUUGUAUCGCCGGUAUGUACUUAAAGUAUAAGUUGUAACUUUGUUUUUGUGCAAUAUGUUGCCCGCUAAUGCAGUAUUUGGCUGUAAAGCUAGUCCUUUUGUUAAGCUAGUUACCCGCGAUUUUGGAGGUCGUCUGGAUAGCAUCAAUAGUACAAGUUCACGUAAUUAGACAUAUGACAUAUGGUGUGUAGUAGCAGUGUGGUAUAUAAAUGUAUAUUAUGCUGCACAUAUGUACGUCAUGACUGUAUUUUUUGUCUUGUUUUUAGUUUUACCCUUUUUAAUGUCAGUAAACCUGUUGACAACGCUCAUCGGUCUCCAGAGUGGUGAUAUGAGAAAGGUGUUAACGCCCCUGCAUCAGACAUGCACCCAUAACGGCACAGUAAAACGGCGGCAUCCGCACGAACAAAGAUAACGCAGUCAUCGCACGCUAGAGUGAAGCUGACCACUACUACGCCUCGGAGCAACACGGCAUACAGCAGUUCUGCAGCAGCCAAAGCCAGAGCAAAAGCUGAGGCAGCAAAGGCACGUCUCAGCUUCGCAGCUAAAGAAAUGGAUUUGAAGGUAGAAAAAGCACAAAUAGAAGUAGCAAAAGCUAAAGUCGAGGCAUCCAUCGAAUAUUUACAGCAUGAAAAA